rnacentral:rRNA from 1 species
UACGAAGGGGGCUAGCGUUGUUCGGAAUUACUGGGCGUAAAGCGUAUGCAGGCGGAUCGUUAAGUCGGGGGUGAAAUCCCGAGGCUCAACCUCGGAACUGCCUUCGAUACUGGCGAUCUUGAGUCCGGGAGAGGUGAGUGGAACUCCGAGUGUAGAGGUGAAAUUCGUAGAUAUUCGGAAGAACACCAGUGGCGAAGGCGGCUCACUGGCCCGGUACUGACGCUGAGAUACGAAAAGCG